rnacentral:ncRNA from 1 species
UGCUUCAUCCUGCACAAAUGCCUUUUUUCUAGGUUAAUUUUUGAUAAGAGUCCUUUGCAGUCUGUUCCUGUUACCUAGUCCUUGAAAAGCAAGGGCACAGUUCCCUGGAGAGGGAGCCUGAGAAAUGGCUACCACAUCCAAGGAAGACAGCAGGCGCACAAAUUACCCACUCCUGACCCGGGGAGGUAGUGACGAAAAAUAACAAUACAGGACUCUUUCGAGGCCCUGUAAUUGGAAUGAGCACACUUUAAAUCCUUGAGCGAGGAUCCAUUGGAGGGCAAGUCUGGUGCCAGCAGCCGCGGUAAUUCCAGCUCCAAUAGCGUAUCUUAAAGUUGCUGCAGUUAAAAAGCUCGUAGUUGGAUCUUGGGAUUGAGCUGGCGGUCUGCCGUGAGGCGAGCCACCCCCCGUCCCAGCCCCCGCC